GCUUGCAAAAUGUGUGGAGAUUGGGCUGCCAGAUAUAUGUAAUCUUACUAGUAUUUUCACAGGUUUGGACCAUUUCAUCCCAGAGCCUGUUGGAACUAAGAGCAACCUCGCUGACAAUGAGAUUUUUUUUUUCCUAAAUCAAUGAUGGAAUUUUGGGGUUCUCCAAGGCAAGACCUAAUAGUGGACAGACUUUCAGAGUUUGAGAAGGUGACUAUAUAUAUGGGGGAAGGAUGGUUUUAUGAUUUCAAGCACACACUUUGAUCGAUUCUCAUCCCCUGACUUCUAUGCAAGAGUUUAUAUUCAGAUGUCACAGCCAGAG